rnacentral:lncRNA from 10 species
CACAUGUCAAAGAGCUAACAAAGGGAUCUUCCUAAAAGGCGUCAUUGUGUGCCCAAAGGGUUUCUGGACUUGGACAUCAUGGUGGACUGGUACAAUUGUCUGCUUAUACAGACUUGCUGGAGCAUAAUAGUUCCACAAAGACCAUUCUCCAAAUAGUGAACCCAGAAGCCUUCACUUAUGACUUCAAUAAAAAUUCACCAAUGGAACAGAAUAGAUAGCCCAGAAAUAAUGCCACACACCUACAACCAUCUGAUCUUCCACAAAAUCAACAAAAACAAGCAAUGGGGAAAGGACUCCCUAUUCAAUGAUUGGUGCUGGAAUAACUGGCUAGCCAUAUGCAGAAGAUUGAAACUGGACCCCUUCCUUACACCAUAUACAUGAAUCAACCUAAGAUGGAUCAAAGACUUAAAUGUAAAGCCUAAAACUAUAAAAACUCUCGAGGAUAACAUAGAAAAUACCAUUCUGGAUAUAGGACCUGGCAAAUAUUUCAUGAUGAAGACACCAAAACCAACUGCAACAAAAACAAAAAUUGACAAAUGGGACUGGAUUAAAGAAAGAACUUCUGCACAGCAAAAGAAACUCUCAACAGUGUAAACAGACAACCUGCAGAAUGGGAGAAAAUUUUUGCAAACUAUGCAUCCAACAAAGGCCCUCUAAUAUCCAGAAUCUAUGAGGAACUUAAACAAAUUUACAACCGAGAAACAAACAACCUCAUUAAAAAGUGGGCAAAGGACAUGAACAGACACUUUUCAAAAAAAGCAUACAUCCAGCCAACAAGCAUAUGAAAAAAUGCUCAUCAUUAGAGAAAUGCAAAUCAAAACCACAAUGAGAUAUCAUCUCACACCAGUCAGAAUGGCUAUUAUUAAAGAGUCAAAAAACAACAGAUGCUGGUUAGGUC